rnacentral:lncRNA from 1 species
CAAAACCAUGGAAUUGUGGGAGAGCAAACCUCCCAAACUGAUCCCUGCUCUGCACAGCAAGUGCGUUCCAGAAAGAUCCGUGCUCCAAAAGGGACAGGGCAGGAAGUUCAGCUCGCUGGGGAAAAUCAGGACCGGGUCAGGAGCUCAUCCCGACUUCACAGAUGGAUCCCCGGGAUCUGCUGCACGGCCCGGGAAAGGCGGGGCUGGAACCGAGAUCCACAGACAAGGGACCUUUAUCAGCUUUCGACUUCAUCUCCGCCCCAGAAAAGCUGCACCCGGCCCAGUCCUGCCAGAGGAAGCUUCCAGAAGGUCUUCAUCUGGGGACUUGGAGCUUCCAGUGGCUGCACUCUCAUCCCAGCUGGAACUUUGUCCCCAGGCCUGCUUAUCUCCAGCCUGA